GUAAUGCGUGACCAACCUGCCCCAUGCUCCAGAAUAGCUCUUGGAAACGGGUGGUAAUGCUGGAUGCUCCAACUUGACGCAUGUCUUGUUGGGAAAGUGUUUAGUGGCAUGGGAUGGGGUCGCGUCCUAUCAGCUUGUAGGCGGGGUAAUGGCCCACCUAGGCUUCGACGGGUAGCCGGCCUGAGAGGGCGGACGGCCACAUUGGGACUGAGAUACGGCCCAGACUCCUACGGGAGGCAGCAGUC
rnacentral:rRNA from 1 species